rnacentral:rRNA from 1 species
UUAACAAAAACAUGUCUUUUUGAGUUAUUUUUAAAGUCUGACCUGCCCACUGAAGUUAUUUAAAUGGCCGCAGUAUUCUAACUGUGCAAAGGUAGCAUAAUCAUUAGUCUUUUAAUUGAAGGCUGGUAUGAACGGUUGGACGAGGUAUAAGCUGUUUCAUAUAAAUUUAUAAUAGAAUUUUAUAUUUUAGUCAAAAAGCUAAAAUUUAAUUAAAAGACGAGAAGACCCUAUAAAUCUUUAUACUUUACAUUGUUUAAAUUUUUUAGAUUAAUUUUAUUUUUAUAAUUUAAAGUAUUUUGUUGGGGUGAUAUUAAAAUUUAAUGAACUUUUAAUUAUUUAAAAUCAUUAAUUUAUGAGUUAUUGAUCCAUUAGUAGUGAUUAUAAGAUUAAGUUACUUUAGGGAUAACAGCGUAAUUUUUUUGGAGAGUUCAUAUCGAUAAAAAAGUUUGCGACCUCGAUGUUGGAUUAAGAUAUAUUUUUAGGUGUAGCCGCUUAAAUGUUAAGUCUGUUCGACUUUUAAAUUCUUACGUGAUCUGAGUUC